AUACAUGCAAGUCGAACGAACUUCCGUUAAUUGAUUAUGACGUACUUGUACUGAUUGAGAUUUUAACACGAAGUGAGUGGCGAACGGGUGAGUAACACGUGGGUAACCUGCCCAGAAGUAGGGGAUAACACCUGGAAACAGAUGCUAAUACCGUAUAACAGAGAAAACCGCAUGGUUUUCUUUUAAAAGAUGGCUCUGCUAUCACUUCUGGAUGGACCCGCGGCGUAUUAGCUAGUUGGUGAGGUAAAGGCUCACCAAGGCAGUGAUACGUAGCCGACCUGAGAGGGUAAUCGGCCACAUUGGGACUGAGACACGGCCCAGACUCCUACGGGAGGCAGCAGUAGGGAAUCUUCCACAAUGGACGCAAGUCUGAUGGAGCAACGCCGCGUGAGUGAAGAAGGGUUUCGGCUCGUAAAGCUCUGUUGUUAAAGAAGAACGUGGGUAAGAGUAACUGUUUACCCAGUGACGGUAUUUAACCAGAAAGCCACGGCUAACUACGUGCCAGCAGCCGCGGUAAUACGUAGGUGGCAAGCGUUAUCCGGAUUUAUUGGGCGUAAAGCGAGCGCAGGCGGUCUUUUAAGUCUAAUGUGAAAGCCUUCGGCUCAACCGAAGAAGUGCAUUGGAAACUGGGAGACUUGAGUGCAGAAGAGGACAGUGGAACUCCAUGUGUAGCGGUGAAAUGCGUAGAUAUAUGGAAGAACACCAGUGGCGAAGGCGGCUGUCUGGUCUGCAACUGACGCU
rnacentral:rRNA from 1 species